CCUCUUGACUCUCUCGUCCGCGGCUGCAGCUGGCGGCUCUUCACGGGGACAGAUCAUCUCCUGCCCGGGGUUUGCAUGCUCUCACCGGGGUCCUACCUUCUCCCAGACCCGCUGUGGAUCCGCGGAGCUAAAGAAGGAUUCAGAAAACCCAGAUCGUGAAGAUGACAGAGUCGCUGGAGCCAAGUGAGGACCUCAGUGCCCCUCCCCCACACGAUGUCGAGCCACUGCGGGACGAUGACCCACACUGCCCCCUGCCCUUAAGGUUACAGUUCAUUGAUGACCUCUCAUAUGAAGACGUGAAGAAGUGCUAGAGGCUCGGUAUGUAAAAAACACACUCUACAUUAUAUGUUCAAAUUCAUAAAAGAGCAG